GCGGCAAUGGCGCUGCCCGCGCUGCGGUUGCCUUUAAUAACGCCGCACGCAUAGAUAAUAUUUAAGGAGGGGGCGAAAAUUCUCGGCUGGUAACGCCGGCUCCGUCCCCGGGAGCCCUUUCGCGCCUAGGCGCUCGGGGAACCCGAAGCUCCUUUGUCGCUCAGCGCCGUACCGAGACGAGCUGGCCUCCGCGAAGUUGAGCAGGUGAAGCCUCACCGGUUUCAUGUUUACCCUCUCCGCUUCCCCAGCCGCCUUUAAUGAUGUUUGUACAAGUUUAGCAGUCUGUGAUUUCUGUCUACCCUCCUCCGUUGUUGGGACAACCUGCCCAGAAGCCACUACAGAUACCCGGGCAGGCCGGACAGUCAAAUCCAACUUGCUUUCUUGUGACUAGAAACAGAAACGGUCUCUUAGAGCAGCUCUUUAAAAAACACUUUUCCAAAGUUCAAAUAUUAGCACUGUUAUCCACUGCUGUGCUAAAGACCUUCUCGUCUGUGGGAAAGACCCAGCUAAAAGAAUGAAUGUGCCUGCUGAUAAGAAAGGUUGCAAUUGUCGACAGGAGCAUUGGAGGAGAGAGCAGAUCAGGAAUUGAGGACACACAAGGAUUUACAGCACUGCAAAUUUACAGAGAAGACAGAGAUCCCGCCGUGUCUCCAGCUGGCUCAAAGCUAAACCAAACAUCUCAGAGUGCUCAGUUACGACUAAACCAAAGCUGGCAGUGAAUCCUCAUCCAUCUAGGAAGGUGUGAUCCAGCAAGCACAACUGCAAAGGUGGAGAGCAAAUGGACAAGUGAGCUGGUCCAGUUAGGGUGGCAAGUAGUAAAGGAAUGGAACUGGAGAGUAUCAGAAUAGUUCAUGACUAGCAGAAAUGUUGCUACCAAAUACUCAAAGUUUACUAAUGAACAAAAUAAGAAUCCAUGACUGUAACUUGCCAGUUACUUUCUUAAAACCAUCAGGAACUCCCAAGAUAUCAGGCAGUCCUCUCCUAUCUGAGGACACAUUUAACUAUAUCCUAUAUAAUCUCAUUUUCAAGAGGCUCUUGAUGUUCAAAAUUCCUUAGACAGUCUUUUUGGUUCCCACAAUUAACUGUUAAAAGAUCGCAGUUAAACUCUUCAGUACAGUCUUACUUUUUACAUUAAGGAAUCACAUGAAGGCAUCCUCAUACUAUUAAUGAACUAUUGUGAUUAGUGUGCUAUGCUGAGAGAGUGUUGGGGGAUAGAAGAUGUUAACAUUUGUUUCUAUCUGUUCUUUAAUCUGAGAAAUCUAUGUUGUUACAAAGGAAAUCUUUCUUCCUUCAGGGCUUCCACCUAUUACAUCCAUUAGCCCUUGUUUAGAAAGUGCUUGUAUACUGUGUUCACAUUUAAAUUGUUCCAUGUGGAGAGCAAGCUUUGUUUGCAAACAGCUUUCCCCACCAAAAAAGUACCAUUGUGGUAUCUUCUUACACCAUUUCCACCAUGCUCACUAGAUAACACAAAUCUGGAACAAAUCCCAAACUCUACUAUGAAAUAAAAACCAGUUUACAAAGCAAACUACUGUUUUUAGAAAGAGAAAUUGAAAAGAUGGACAUUUUAAGCUAUUUUAAGAAACUAUCUCUUUCAACCUUGAGCUGUUCACUUUCAGCCCUUGCUACAAGUAUUAAAAACGAGUACUGGCUGCAAAUAAAAUGAUUUUUUGUGUAACUUUGUAAACUA